CGGGUGAGUAUCACGUGAGAAACCUGCCCCGAAGACUGGGAUAGCCCGGGGAAACCCGGAUUAAUACCGGAUAUCCUCUACAGAUCGCAUGAUCUGUUGAGGAAAGCUUUUGCGCUUCGGGAUGGUCUCGCGGCCGAUUAGCUUGUUGGUGAGGUAACGGCUCACCAAGGCGGUGAUCGGUAGCCGGCCUGAGAGGGCGAUCGGCCACACUGGGACUGAGACACGGCCUAG
rnacentral:rRNA from 1 species